GGCUGGGCAGGCAGGAGACAGAGGAGCGCGAAUCCCAGGCUCACCUUCCUUUGGAUGGCUAGCCUACUGGGUAGUGCCUUGCGUGAACAGCACUCCCCACCUUGAUAUAAAAGGAGAGACCAGAAGACCAUAAAGGUUUAGACCGAAAUGAAAACCCAGAACCUACAACCAUGAAAAUCUCAACAUCCAUUCUUAAAAUCCAGACAAAAGCAAGUGAAAAGAAGACAGCUAUCUGCCCAAAAUGGAGGUCCUUGUGGAGAAGUACUGAUAAAUCUCCAAACGCCAUUAUAUCCCCGAUGCAGCU